UUCACCGUAAACGAAUGAUACAAAAUGAAAGGCCAUGCUUUCUUUUUUAACCAAAAAUUUAGAAUUGUUACCAAACCCAAACCCUACCUCGAAAACAAUAAAAUAUGACCCAAACACUGUUUUCUUUUUACAACGUGUCGCAGAUGAGACAAAAUGUCUUUAAAGCCAGAAUUUACGUCUAUCUGAUUCUUCACCGGCAUUGCUCUCGAAGAAAACCUCCCCUUCUUUCCUAUCCCAUACUCCUUUUUGAACCAUACGAAGACGCAUGGUAAAUCGAGGACCUAAUUCUUGUAGCCCAGUUCCAAUACCAUCUGGCAUAUUCGAUUUUUCACGAAAUGCAUAACGGUGUCUUCGAAAAAAAAGAAAAUCUCUUUGACAAUGGAUGGUAACAACUUGUCGCCCUUGAAUUUGAGGCGUUUGAAUAAAUAAUGAUUGAAAGGCUCGAGCAACAGUCAUACCAAGUCUCGUUGAGAAAUUGUUGAUUAUCAGUUCUGGAAUAUGACCAGUGGAGCGGCCAUGAUUUGAAAUUUCCUUUGCUGUUUGGAGAUUCGAUAAGGUAAAAUAGAACGAAGGGCCAUUCGGUAAGUGUACAAGGGUUAAUGCAUUUGUUUUUUUACGAUCCUCAUUUAAUACCAGUAAAUCGGUGUAACCACGCUUAGCAGCGGCUUCUGCGAUUUCAUGAACUUCAAUAUCUCCGGUUCUUUUUCGAAAUUCAGCAUUAGGAAAACAAUCUAAAAGCUCAGAUGCAAAAUCAUAGCAUUUUCUAGAGGCUCGUUUACUCGUGGUUACCAAAAGUUUCGGAACUUUCCUUUCUUCACUAAAGUAUGCAGAAAACUCAUCAUCUUUUAACUCCGCCUGAAGUUCCUCAUCGGGUUUAUCCUCUAUGAUAGUUUCAUCAUAAACUCGUUUCGAUUCAAUAGUAGCGGGAAUAUUUUCUGAAAGUCGCAAUCUCUUCUUUUCCGGGUCUUUUUCUUCUUCUUUAGCACGUUCUUUUCUUCUUUCAAGCUUGUCCUUAUUU